rnacentral:rRNA from 1 species
AAACGAAUUCGCCCUUAGAGUUUGAUCCUGGCUCAGAUUGAACGCUGGCGGCAGGCCUAACACAUGCAAGUCGAGCGGUAGAGAGAAGCUUGCUUCUCUUGAGAGCGGCGGACGGGUGAGUAAUGCCUAGGAAUCUGCCUGGUAGUGGGGGAUAACGUUCGGAAACGGACGCUAAUACCGCAUACGUCCUACGGGAGAAAGCAGGGGACCUUCGGGCCUUGCGCUAUCAGAUGAGCCUAGGUCGGAUUAGCUAGUUGGUGAGGUAAUGGCUCACCAAGGCGACGAUCCGUAACUGGUCUGAGAGGAUGAUCAGUCACACUGGAACUGAGACACGGUCCAGACUCCUACGGGAGGCAGCAGUGGGGAAUAUUGGACAAUGGGCGAAAGCCUGAUCCAGCCAUGCCGCGUGUGUGAAGAAGGUCUUCGGAUUGUAAAGCACUUUAAGUUGGGAGGAAGGGCAGUUACCUAAUACGUGAUUGUUUUGACGUUACCGACAGAAUAAGCACCGGCUAACUCUGUGCCAGCAGCCGCGGUAAUACAGAGGGUGCAAGCGUUAAUCGGAAUUACUGGGCGUAAAGCGCGCGUAGGUGGUUUGUUAAGUUGGAUGUGAAAUCCCCGGGCUCAACCUGGGAAACUGCAUUCAAAACUGACUGACUAGAGUAUGGUAGAGGGGUGGUGGAAUUUCCUGUGGUAGCGGGUGAAAUGCGUAGAUAUAGGGAAGGAACCCCAGUGGCGAAGGCGACCACCUGGGACUAAUACUGACCCUGAGGUGCGAAAAGCGUGGG